rnacentral:lncRNA from 1 species
CUGUUCCAUCCAAGAAUCAUAGAGUUUUGGUGACAUUCUAUUCCAAGUUUAACCAACCAACCGGUAACUUUUGGUGAGGUGACCUGGCAUGUAUUUGACAUGUCAUCAAAGGUAAAUAUAAUAAAGGUCAUAGAAUUGUCAAAUGCAUAGACCCCAUGUCACCAAUAACUUACCAGUUAAAACAGUCAACAAGCGACUCAGGUGGAUUCAACAAUAAUACUCUUGCAUCACUCAUCUUCAGUGCUUCAACAAGAGAGAUAAAAGAUUAUGUUGUUGCCCCUGUGUUGAUAUAAUAGUUAAAACCAUAGCUGUGAUUAUAAAUGGAAAAACUUGUACAGUUAAAUAAAUAUAUUCACAGGUUUUGUUUUUGGAAGUCUAAUAAUAUUAGCACUUAUCAGAUGAUUAUAAGCAAAUAAAUAGCUACCUUUUGGACAUUCAUAAAACACCCAUAACAGAAGCUUCUCAAUGAAGGCAUGUUCAAGGGAUCCACCAGCAUUAUUCAAACCAUGGUAUUGAGAGUUUCUUAUCUGAAAAAUGAAAAUAAUACACAAUCAAUCACACAUGAACAAAACAGAAAAUGUUUAACAAUGAACCUUGCUAGUAUGGAUAUAGUAGUUCUCAUCAGAAUUUGGAGGAUUCAAAAAAAAAAAGAACUAACUGAAUGAGAAUGACACCUUCAAAACAAGUGCCAUUGUUGCUAUUAAAACACUCUUC